UGGGGAAUCUUAGACAAUGGGGGCAACCCUGAUCUAGCCAUGCCGCGUGAGUGAUGAAGGCCUUAGGGUUGUAAAGCUCUUUCAGCUGGGAAGAUAAUGACGGUACCAGCAGAAGAAGCCCCGGCUAACUCCGUGCCAGCAGCCGCGGUAAUACGGAGGGGGCUAGCGUUGUUCGGAAUUACUGGGCGUAAAGCGCACGUAGGCGGACUGGAAAGUUGGGGGUGAAAUCCCGGGGCUCAACCUCGGAACUGCCUUCAAAACUAUCAGUCUGGAGUUCGAGAGAGGUGAGUGGAAUUCCGAGUGUAGAGGUGAAAUUCGUAGAUAUUCGGAGGAACACCAGUGGCGAAGGCGGCUCACUGGCUCGAUACUGACGCUGAGGUGCGAAAGCGUGGGGAGCAAACAGG
rnacentral:rRNA from 3 species